rnacentral:rRNA from 1 species
UACGUAGGUGGCAAGCGUUGUCCGGCAUUAUUGGGCGUAAAGCGCGCGCAGGUGGUUCCUUAAGUCUGAUGUGAAAGCCCACGGCUCAACCGUGGAGGGUCAUUGGAAACUGGGGAACUUGAGUGCAGAAGAGGAAAGUGGAAUUCCAAGUGUAGCGGUGAAAUGCGUAGAGAUUUGGAGGAACACCAGUGGCGAAGGCGACGUUCUGGUCUGUAACUGACACUGAGUUGCGACAGCGUGGGGAGCAAACAGG